CACUCUCGCCUCGGGGUCCCAGCGCCAGAGACGCAGCAGCGCUCCCACCACCGACACCCACUGCGCCCUAGCUCGCCUCACCUCCCGGAGGAGCCCGUCCGUACCGCCGCAGCUGCCCAGCCCACCACCACCCUCGGCAGCCAUGUACACCAGGUCCGUGUCCUGGUCCUCCUACCGCAGGAUGUUCGGUGGCCUCGGCACCGCGAGCCGGCCGAGCUCCAGCCGGAGCUACGUGACCACGUCCACGCGCAUGGGCAGCGCGCUACACCCCAGCACUAGCCGCAGCCUCUACUCCUCGUCCCCAGGCGGCGCGUUUGUCACCCGUUCCUCGGCCGUGUGCCUGCAGAGCAGUGUGCCCGGCGUGCAGCUGCUGCAGGACUCGGUGGACUUCUCGCUGGCCGACGCCAUCAACACCGAGUUCAAGAACACCAGCACCAACGAGAAGGUGGAGUUGCAGGAGCUGAACGACUGCUUUGCCAACUACAUCGACAAGGUGCAAUUCCUGGAGCAGCAGAACAAGAUCCUGCUGGCUGAGCUCGAGCCGCUCAAGGACCAGGGCAAGUCGCGCCUGGGGGACCUCUACAAGGAGGAGAUGCGCGAGCUGCGCGGGCAGGUGGACUAGCUCACCAACGACAAGGCCCGCGUCGAGGUGGAGCGCGACAACCUGACGGAGGACAUCAUGAGGCUCCGGGAGAAAUUACAGGAGGAGAUGCUGCAGAGAGAGGAAGCUGAGAGCACCCUGUAAUCCUUCAGACAGGAUGUUGAUAAUGCGUCUUUGGCACGUCUUGACCUUGAACGUAAAGUGGAAUCCUUGCAAGAAGAAAUCGCCUUUCUGAAGAAACUGCACGAUGAGGAAAUCCAGGAGCUGCAGGCCCAAAUUCAGGACCAACAUGUCCAAAUCGACAUGGAUGUUUCCAAACCUGACCUCAUGGCUGCCCUGCGUGACGUGCGUCAGCAGUAUGAAAGUGUGGCUGCCAAGAAUCUUCAGGAGGCAGAAUAAUGGUACAAGUCCAAGUUUGCUGACCUCUCUGAGGCUGCUAACCGCAACAAUGCUGCCUUGCGCCAAGCGAAGCAGGAAUCCAAUUGAGUACCGGAGACAGGUGCAGUCCCUCACCUGUGAAGUGGAUGCCCUAAAAGGAACUAAUGAGUCCCUGGAACGCCAGAUGCGUGAAAUGGAAGAGAACUUUUCUGUCGAAGCUGCUAACUACCAAGACACUAUUGGCCGCUUGCAGGAUGAGAUUCAGAACAUGAAGGAAGAAAUGGCCCGUCACCUUCGUGAAUACCAAGACCUGCUCAAUGUUAAGAUGGCUCUUGACAUUGAGAUCGCCCGCCUCCUACAGGAUCGCCCACCACCUACAGGAAGCUGCCUCUUCCAAACUUUUCCUGCUGAACCUGAGAGAAACCAAUCUGGAUUCACUCCCUCUGGUUGAUACCCACUCAAAGAGAACACUUCUGAUUAAGACUGUGGAAACUAGAGAUGGACAGGUUAUCAAUGAAACUUCUCAGCAUCACGAUGAUCUUCAAUAGAAUAGCAAUGUAUUACCAGCAAGAAUAAAAAAGCAAUGUGUAUCCUAUAGGAACAUCUUCCAAGUGCCUUUCUGCAGUUUUUCAGGAGCACAAGAUAGAUUUUGAAUAGCUAUAUGCUCUAGUUCCUAACCACCAACACUCCUAAAAGAUUUAGUAAAAAUGUUUACACCAUAAUCUAGUUUAUGAAGAAGUCUUGUGCUAGAAUACUUUUUAAAAAGUAUUUUUGAAUACCAUUAAAACUGCUUUUUUCCCCAUGCAGUAUUCAAUCUACUGGGUUCUGCUUCAAUAAAUCUUUGGUAAAACUAAAAAAAAAAUAAAU